UCGAGAAAAAAAAGAAGAAAAAAUCUAGCCCUAAAGAAGACCGGAGAUGGAAAACCAGGACGGAAAAGAGUGGAUCCACCCAAAACGUCUGUUGUCUUCGAACCAAAAUAUAAUACAUCCUCGCUAGCACUGUUAUGAAUGGGGCAAGGCCCGCCGCUAAACGAAAAAGAAUAGCAGAGCAUUUUAUGCUAAUCAUACCAACUCCAAAUUUGACAUUAGAGGAAUUUCAAGAUGGCCGGAGCGGCGGAGUGAGAAGGAAACAACAUCACAUUGUUGUAGCAAGGAUAAACCGGCUCGGUGGGGCGCAAUCUUAGACGAGAUAGACUGUUGGAUGGAGAAAGAGAACGGGGUGGGAGUUGUUUUCGAAUAAUAGAGCAGCAAGUCAUUGUCUUCCAUGUAUAAUUUUUCUUCCAGAUUCGACGGGUUUUUGAGAGGGAUUCAUCAGCUGCUAGUUCAUUCAUCACCACUAGCGCUGCAUUGAUGCAUUUUGUGAAUGGUGCAUGCUAUCUGUGUGCUGGCUGGGCGGCAGGAACAAAGCCCAUUGUUGUUUCGGGGCAUUGUUAACUCGCUUUUGUCCCGCCUCGAGUGUAUUCCCGGAGGCGAAGGGCGUUAUUCACCGUUUGUUUCGAGAAAGCUAAACCACGGGAAUGCCGCUUUCAGAGGGAGAAAGAUCAAAAUUAGGACUAAAAUAUUAAUUUGCAUAAUCUGUCAUCAGUAUUGUCAUCAUUUUCCUCCUCCUCCUGCUCGUUAGCGUUCAUCACUGCGAUCACUAUCAGAGAGUCGGAGUCGGAGGCACUCUUUAGGACAGUGAAGCAACACACCAAGGCUCUGUGGUGCAAGCGGUAGUCACUGAUUGGCCUCAAGGUUCAAAUCUCUGGAUGAGUUUGAGUUGAGGAAAGUCUACAUCCGCUUCUGGCCUGUGGUGUGUGGCGGUGAAGAUAGAAUCAGAUUGUGACUGGCUCAUUGUUUCAAACUGGUUCUUCUGGACUAAGAAUCAAAGAAUGUCACUCUGGAUGUAAAUGUGUGCAGUGGGAGGCUCGUCCGCUCUUCUCUAUUACCAAUACAUAGAGCUAACUUGUAAGUACAUGUUCAUGUAUGUAAUUGAUUUAAGUACAAGAUAGUCAACACUGUAUGGUAUUCAACUUAAAGUGAUUGGUUAACAUUGGUUUGACUUUAAAAAAUCUGAGCUGGAAGGU